GGGAUUAGAUACCCCACUAUGCUUAGCCUUAAACCUAGAUGUUAAAUUUACAAGCAACAUCCGCCAGGGUACUACAAGCGCUAGCUUAAAACCCAAAGGACUUGACGGUGUCUCAGACCCACCUAGAGGAGCCUGUUCUAGAACCGAUAAUCCCCGUUAAACCUCACCACCCCUUGUUUUCCCCGCCUAUAUACCGCCGUCGCAAGCUUACCCUGUGAAGGUUUCAUAGUAAGCAAAAUGGGUAAAUCCCAAAACGUCAGGUCGAGGUGUAGCUUACGAGGUGGGAAGAAAUGGGCUACAUUUUCUAUAUCAGAAUAAUACGAACAGCACCAUGAAAUUUGUGCUCGAAGGUGGAUUUAGUAGUAAAAAAUAAAUAGAGAGUCUUUUUGAACCAGGCUCUGAGACGCGCACACACCGCCCC
rnacentral:rRNA from 1 species